GUCCCAUCCCAUGCGGGUGGAUGUGGACUGAUGCAUGCUGCAUGGGCUGGAGCAGACGGCUGAGGAAACCGUAUCUUCCUCGAUCCCUUUGCCAAGAAUAAAGAGAACUGAUGACAUCUGCAGCUUUGCCAACACCUUCCUCAGCCCUCCGGGUCUCCGAGCAUCCAGGACAGCUAUUUUGCCAGGCUUUUGUGCAACCCUGUAAUGAAUCAAUGGGAUUGUGGAAGGAGGCAAAGCAGCAGGAACAGAAGGCAGCUGGUAUAUACAGCAGAGAAGAUUCAGAGGGAUCCCAUUUGGGUCCUAUGCAGUGAUGAGGUCCUGGAGACAAGGCUGGAGACAAUGCCAUGUUGUAUACUUGGUGGACCAUAAUGGGAAUUUCGAGAAGUGACCCCACCGAGCAAGCCAAGGCAGGGCCAACUGCUGAAACUGCAUUUUGGAGAUGAAUAGAGUCUCAUGUGUUGCAAAAGUUGAUGGAAGACUUCCUGCAAAGAGAGGACAACCCAGGAGCAGCCCCAUCUGUUGCCAAAUGGCCACACACGGAGUGUGACCUUGUCCCAUAAGAUAACAAGAUUUAUUCUGCGCUUUUUGAUAGGACAUCGAUUAAGGCUUCCAUGCUUGUGAGGGCGCCGGGGGUUCAAAGCGCCGAAAGGACAGCAUGGAACAAUGCAAGAUGAGGCUCCCUUGGCUUUGCCCAGAGAUUUAUGAAUGCUGUUUGUCAUAGAGCAGGAUUGAUACGAAUAUCCAACUGCUUGUGACCAGAAAGGCAGGCUCCAUCCAACCCGCUGCACAGCGAUGAACUCCAAACAAGCCUUGAGACCCCUGGCACAUCGGGAACCCAAACAGAGCGCGCUGCCAGCGCUGGGCCCUGCUCAGCUGGCUGCUGUCCCAGCACCAUGCCUCGUGCUGCUGGAGCGAUGAGUUCAUUGCACAACCGAGCUGGGGAUCCCACCGAGCCGGGAGGGUGUCUGUCUGUCUGUCUGCCUGUCUGUUGCCCUGACAGAUGGCCAGGGCCAGUUUUGAUACUCGUUCAAGAAAAAUAGCUGUUUUCAGUGGAUGCAGCCACACAUUCCUCAUGCUUUUGGGGUGAGAUCUUCAGCCAGGGCAACCCAACAGGACAUCACCGACGGUGCAGCGUAGUGCUGGCAGCACUCCCUGGGAAAUAAAGCACAGCCGCAGGUGUGACAUGAUCUGAGGAGCCCUUUGUGGAUGGAACUCAGUGCUGCUGGGAGAUUUCAGCCCAAUUUCGGUUUGGGAGCCCGGCCCACCUAUGUACCCGGGGCAGGAGGAGCACAGGGCCACGUGCGCUCGCGGCUGGCUGCCUGCAGGAAGCUUCCCCGUGCUAUUUUUGCAGCUCUGACCUCACUGCUCGGAGAGCCUGCCCUUCUCCAGCUUCCUCUCCUUGAUAGCUGCCUUUUGCCCCGUAUUUCCUCACGCGUUGAGCCAUCACCUUAAGUCUCUUCUCAUUUCUUGAGUUCUUGUUUAUCUCCUUGAGCAGCGCAGGACUCUGACGGGGCUCUGCCUUCCUGUCCUGCCUCGCCAGUUCCUCUGUUUACCUAUAACACAAAUGAAGCUUCUGCAUCUUGUUUUCUUGGUUUUUCUUUUUUUUUUUCUGUUUGGAUUUGU